CUCCUACGGGAGGCAGCAGUGAGGAAUAUUGCGCAAUGGGGGCAACCCUGACGCAGCAACGCCGCGUGAGUGAGGAAGGUUUUCGGACCGUAAAGCUCUGUCGAGCGGGAAGAAAUGUAUCGUGGCUAAUAUCCAUGAUAUUUGACGGUACCGCUAAAGGAAGCACCGGCUAACUCCGUGCCAGCAGCCGCGGUAAUACGGGGGGUGCAAGCGUUGUUCGGAAUUAUUGGGCGUAAAGAGCGUGUAGGCGGCUGAAUAAGUCAGAUGUGAAAUCCCUGGGCUUAACCCAGGAAGUGCAUUUGAAACUAUUCAGCUUGAGUAGGGGAGAGGAAAGUGGAAUUCCUGGUGUAGAGGUGAAAUUCGUAGAUAUCAGGAGGAACACCGGUGGCGAAGGCGACUUUCUGGCCCUAUACUGACGCUGAGACGCGAGAGCGUGGGUAGCAAACAGGAUUAGAUACCCUGGUAGUCCACGCUGUAAACGAUGUUCACUAGGUGUUGGGGGUAUUGACCCUCUCAGUGCCGCAGCUAACGCAUUA
rnacentral:rRNA from 1 species